rnacentral:tRNA from 1 species
AUUUAUAUAGUUUAAAAAAAAACAUUACAUUUUCAUUGUAAAAAUAAAAUUUUAUUUUUAUAAAUA